rnacentral:rRNA from 1 species
GACGAACGCUGGCGGCGUGCUUAACACAUGCAAGUCGAACGGAAAGGCCCUGCUUUUGUGGGGUGCUCGAGUGGCGAACGGGUGAGUAACACGUGAGUAACCUGCCCUUGACUUUGGGAUAACUUCAGGAAACUGGGGCUAAUACCGGAUAGGAGCUCCUGCUGCAUGGUGGGGGGUGGAAAUUUUGGGCUGUUGGGGAUGGACGAGCGGCUUAACAGCUUGUUGGUUGGGGAGGGGCUUACCAAGGCCUUGGCGGGUAGCCGGCCGGAGAGGGUGAACGGCCACAUUGGGACUGAGAUACGGCCCAGACUCCUACGGGAGGCAGCAGUGGGGAAUAUUGCACAAUGGGCGGAAGCCUGAUGCAGCAACGCCGCGUGCGGGAUGACGGCCUUCGGGUUGUAAACCGCUUUCGCCUGUGACGAAGCGUGAGUGACGGUAAUGGGUAAAGAAGCACCGGCUAACUACGUG